UACCAGCACCCCGAGUAGUCGGGACGAUUAUUGGGCCUAAAGCAUCCGUAGCCGGUUUUACAAGUCCCCCGUUAAAUCCAGCUGCUUAACAGAUGGGCUGCGGAGGAUACUAUAAGACUAGGAGGCAGGAGAGGCAAGCGGUACUCAGUGGGUAGGGGUAAAAUCCGUUGAUCCAUUGAAGACCACCAGUGGCGAAGGCGGCUUGCCAGAAUGCGCUCGACGGUGAGGGAUGAAAGCUGGGGGAGCAAACCAG
rnacentral:rRNA from 1 species